rnacentral:rRNA from 1 species
AACGAACGCUGGCGGCAUGCCUAACACAUGCAAGUCGAACGAGACCUUCGGGUCUAGUGGCGCACGGGUGCGUAACGCGUGGGAACCUGCCCUUAGGUUCGGAAUAACUCCCCGAAAGGGGUGCUAAUACCGGAUAAUGUCUUCGGACCAAAGAUUUGUCGCCUUUGGAUGGGCCCGCGUUGUAUUAGCUAGUUGGGAGGGUAAAAGCCUACCAAGGCGACGAUCCAUAGCUGGUCUGAGAGGAUGAUCAGCCACACUGGGACGGAGACACGGCCCAGACUACUACGGGAGGCAGCAGUGGGGAAUAUUGGACAAUGGGCGAAAGCCUGAUCCAGCAAUGCCGCGUGAGUGAUUAAGGCCUUAGGGUUGUAAAGCUCUUUUACCCGGGAUGAUAAUGACAGUACCGGGAGAAUAAGCUCCGGCUAACUCCGUG